rnacentral:rRNA from 1 species
AUUGAACGCUGGCGGCAUGCCUUACACAUGCAAGUCGAACGGUAACAGGUCUUCGGAUGCCGACGAGUGGCGAACGGGUGAGUAAUACAUCGGAACGUGCCCGAUCGUGGGGGAUAACGAAGCGAAAGCUUUGCUAAUACCGCAUACGAUCUACGGAUGAAAGCAGGGGGCCGCAAGGCCUUGCGCGAACGGAGCGGCCGAUGGCAGAUUAGGUAGUUGGUGGGAUAAAAGCUUACCAAGCCGACGAUCUGUAGCUGGUCUGAGAGGACGACCAGCCACACUGGGACUGAGACACGGCCCAGACUCCUACGGGAGGCAGCAGUGGGGAAUUUUGGACAAUGGGCGAAAGCCUGAUCCAGCCAUGCCGCGUGCAGGAUGAAGGCCUUCGGGUUGUAAACUGCUUUUGUACGGAACGAAAAGACUCUGGUUAAUACCUGGGGUCCAUGACGGUACCGUAAGAACAAGCACCGGCUAACUACGUGCCAGCAGCCGCCGUAA